rfam:Nostoc punctiforme PCC 73102, complete genome.
UGGUAGAUGCACCCUGAUAACUAACUCCCCUAGUAGACUAACAUCAUCUGGGGGUUUUUUAU